GAUGAAGAACGUAGUAAAAUGCGAUAAGUAAUGUGAAUUGCAGAAUUCAGUGAAUCAUCGAAUCUUUGAACGCACAUUGCGCCCGCCAGUAUUCUGGCGGGCAUGCCUGUUCGAGCGUCAUUUCAACCCUCAAGCACAGCUUGGUGUUGGGACUCGCGUUAAUUCGCGUUCCCCAAAUUGAUUGGCGGUCACGUCGAGCUUCCAUAGCGUAGUAGUAAAACCCUCGUUACUGGUAAUCGUCGCGGCCACGCCGUUAAACCCCAACUUCUGAAUGUUGACCUCGGAUCAGGUAGGAAUACCCGCUGAACUUAAGCAUAUCAUAAGCGGAGGA
rnacentral:misc_RNA from 1 species